rnacentral:rRNA from 1 species
UAAGUCAGAUGUGAAAGCCCCGGGCUCAACCUGGGAACUGCAUUUGAAACUGGCUAACUAGAGUAUAGGAGAGGAAAGUGGAAUUUCAGGUGUAGCGGUGAAAUGCGUAGAUAUCUGAAGGAACAUCAAUGGCGAAGGCAGCUUUCUGGACUAAUACUGACACUGAGGUACGAAAGCGUGGGUAGCAAACAGGAUUAGAUACCCUGGUAGUCCACGCCGUAAACGAUGAUAACUAGCCGUUGGGAGGAUUUACCUCUUAGUGGCGAAGCUAACGCGUUAAGUUAUCCGCCUGGUGAGUACGGCCGCAAGGCUAAAACUCAAAGGAAUUGACGGGGACCCGCACAAGCGGUGGAGCAUGUGGUUUAAUUCGAUGCAACGCGAAGAACCUUACCUGGUCUUGACAUACAGAGAACUUUCCAGAGAUGGAUUGGUGCCUUCGGGAACUCUGAUACAGGUGCUGCAUGGCUGUCGUCAGCUCGUGUCGUGAGAUGUUGGGUUAAGUCCCGUAACGAGCUCAACCCUUAUCCUUAUUUGCCAGCACAUCAUGGUGGGAACUAUAAGGAGACUGCCGGUGAUAAACCGGAGGAAGGCGGGGACGACGUCAAGUCAUCAUGGCCCUUACGACCAGGGCUACACACGUGCUACAAUGGGAAGGACAAAGGGUUGCUAAGCCGCGAGGUGGUGCUAAUCUCAUAAACCUUUUCGUAGUCCGGAUCGGAGUCUGCAACUCGACUCCGUGAAGUCAGAAUCGCUAGUAAUCGUGGAUCAAAUGCCACGGAGAAUACUUUCCCGGGUCUUGUAC